GGGAACAAAGCAGGGGAAGAGGAGGAAGAGGCCGAGAACAUCUGCAGAUUCCUGCUGGAACUAAAACUACAACUGUGAUCGACCGUGUUGUCAGUCACAGCCUCGACGGGUGCAGACAAAGAAAUACUGUAAAUUCAGUUAUUCAAAUAUUUGUCUGGAGAACAGGUGAGUCAAUUGGACAGUAAUUCAGCACUGAACUAUCUGCUCUACUGUCAUUGUGUUAUACACAGAUCUUAAAGUGGGACAAGAACAUGUCACUUUUUACAUUUAGACUUUACUGCAGCACAGGUUUACUGUAUGAUUCUGUACUGCAGCGUGUUACAGUUGGUAAGCACUGUUAUUGUUCACUACAGUAACACGGGUUAAAGCAGCAUUUCUCAUGUUUACUGUACAUGACUGUAAUUUUACUCUGCACCACACAGGAACCUCUCAGAGGUGGAAGAGGACCUCUUUUUACUCCACAACAAGAGGAAGUCGUUUGUGCAACAGUGAUUGUAAACAAGGCCAUAAGGUAGAGAGAGAUACAGUGCUGUUAUAGAGUUACCUCACUACAUACAGUCAUGUUUAACUUUACUGUAGUUUUCAAAGGGCUGUGCAAAUAGUGUAUAACUCUGUCUUCAGCCUUUUCAGGUAAUGUCACCAAGAUCUGAGGAUUUUUCUUUCAUUUGAAAACACUUGGAGAGUAAACUGUCAUGAUGAAAACAUGACAGAGUCAUUUGACUAUCUGGUUCAGGACUAAUUAUUUUGAUGACACUUUCAUUGAUAUGAAUACUUUCUUUUAAAGAAUGAACUAUCUAUUUUGAGUGAGUGACACGCUUUUGCAGGUUAUCAACCAGGUUUUGAAGUUUGUACUGAUUGUUUUGAGAAAUUCACUAACUGUUGUGCAAAUGUUAAUAGUGAUGUGAGAAAUACAGCAAAGUGAGAAAAACUGUAAGUGGGACUAUUGUUUACAAUACGAGCAUCUUUAACCUACAGUAUAAUCACAUUCAGUUAUGUACACAGUGGUAGCCCCCCAGUGGUCAUUAGAAAGAAUGCAGGGUUGAUGCUGCUGAACUACUACCUGAAAUAAGUAUUAAACACCAUUUUCAAAUUGUAUUUCACAUCUUCUUUUUCCAGGUGAGCAGGAUGUUUAGCUGCAGAGGCUCUCACAGACAGGAGGUCAGUCUUUAAGAGAACUCAGGUAAAAAGGAAACACAUGACUGUCAUGAAUCCAGACUCAGUGAUCAAAACUUGAUCUUCUGUAGACCCUUCUUCAGCUGUCUGAUGUUCCGAUGUAAACCUGAACUGUUACUGCAGGUGUCUUUGGGGGGAGCUGCACAUGAACGAAUCAGGCAGGCCGACGUCACAUUGACAUUAUGCUCCACUUUAAAAGGGCGGGUGCAGAAACACUGUAGGGAGUUAAAGCCGUAACCUCGUUAGCAGCUGCUUGACAUAUUCAGUGCAUGCCAUGCCUCAAACACACUAAGCACCCAUGACAUUAAUAAUGAAAUUUACUGUUUUUUAAAUCCCGUUCUGGCCUUUAAGAUAAGCAGCUAAACAUGCCACAGCCUUGAUAAGCACAUUUACUUACCUGACACUCACCUCUAUGAAUUUCCACUCUCUCCUGCACCUCUAAGUAGGCAGAUUAGGUGGUCCUUUGAACCCACAGGAAGGCCCCUAUUUAGAAAUAUAUGAAGGGGUAAAGUGAGCCAGGCUAAUGACCGAUUCCGUGUCACCUGCACACUCACAGGUCUUUUAUCAUUCUGUGGAGAGGGCCCCCGUCCUCUGAGUAACCCUCAUUAUACCUGAGCUAAUGUUGGGAAUGAGAAUGUUCAGGUGAUAAAGCACCUUCACAGCCCUUCAUUAUACAGAGAGAGAAACAGGCUCGGUGGAAUUCUGCUUGACCUAUAAGAUGAAUGUAAUGGACAAAGAAUAACUCCUAUUUUAGCAGUUGUUCUAUAUCCUGCUGUCUGCUGACUGUCUCAGAGGAGACACGUGAUUUUCUUUUUGGCCAUUAGGUGGCACUCUUGAUAUUCUGUAAACCACAUCUUUAACACUCCAGCUGAGCUUUCCACUAAAAGACUUCAUUCAUGGAGACUAUUAACUGUAUGAAGGCCAUUAACAAAGUCAAUAAACCUUUAGAAAUAACAAAUCACUCUGUUGAACUGUUGGACAUGCUCUAAUCCAGAGUUAUUAUUGUUUAAAUAUUUCCAACCACAUCACAUUUGGUGGUCAGUACAGUAAUCCAGCGUUUGUACACAGCCAUUGAUCAGUAAAAAGGGGACAAAGCAGCAUGGAUUGAGCAAUUUGAUUCAAGACAAAUUGCAUCAGGAAGUGUUGGUGCAAUACACUCGAACCUUUGCGUUUGCUGGAUACUCUUCCUCUCCCACAAAGAGUCGAAGCAGUGAUGGGUACGAAAAAUGUCUGAGCUGUAACAACCACUCAAGAUUUUGAUUCUUUUUUAAAAACCACUUUUCCCAGUUCAACAUCCAGAGACCAUCAGAGAGAAGCGCAUCAUUAAUGAGCAAGUUACUGUGUUUUUGUUAGAUCUGCUGAGUGCUUUUCUUCCAUUCACACCUGGGUCACUCAAUGACUUCACAACAAUUUUCACAACGAUCUGAAAUUCUCUCUUGAUACAGUCGCUGUAACACAAACAGAGAAACCGUACCCUGUAUCAGCCUGUAAACUGCUGCGAUUAUGUCAGUUAAAGACAGAAUGUCAGCGAGCAGAAAGGUCAUGGAGGAAAUGCAGAAUAUGUGUUCAUCUUCAAAUUUUUCAGGAACAAACAAAUAUCUAUGAUGAAGCGAGAUAAACAAGCCCAUUUCUCAGAGCUUUUUACCUCUAUAGACAGACUUUUAACUGUUAUCUAUUUUUAAUCAUCGCAGUAGAACUCUCAAAGAACUUGUUAAGAAUUCUCUCCCUUUUUUAGGGGUCUUCCUACCUUUGGACCUCCAGCCACCACAUCAUUUUAUUUUUAAUGAAAAAAGCUGCCAGAGCUGACAUAACCAGCAGGAUCAAUACUUCCACACACGCCUUCGAUGCCAUCGAAACUAAACUUUUUAAAAAGAGCUUUUCCAGCUCAUCCCAGGAAAAAUACACAGAUGCAAACAUACAAAAAUAUACCAAAACAGCCACCUUUGAGGGCUCGCCACAGUCUGUCUUUCCAUAACACACUGAGCAGAUUUGGAGUUGAUUGGACUGUAUGAGUUAGUUCAAGUAGACAAACUGAAAAUCCUUGGUUUAGGGAGUGCAGCAGACGUUUUUGUAGGGCUGAGUAUUAGAGUAAUUUAACACCUUAUACUUGCUGCGCAGAGAAGGCUGGAGUGUACCAGAAGUAGACUGAACAUUUGGUGAGCUGGAUGAGGUGUGUGUGGAAGCAGUAACUUCCUGUUGUCAGCAGGUGGCGCUGUGUUUUUAGAGACUUUAAAGAUGGAUGUGAUGAGGCUAAAACCUUUGACAGACAUAUGUAAUAUGAGUGAGCUAAAACAUGUUCAUGGUCCAUGGGAAGACUGAACUUGACCACACUGUGCUGACCAGAAGGCAGGAACUAAAAAGCAUAUCAAAUGAAAGGGUUAUGAAAAAUCACAGCUUAUGUAUGUAUUAUAUACCUGAUGGAUGUAGGAACUAAAUCUCACACUGACAGAAAACCAUCUGAACACAUCAGAAGCAAAUGUUUAAUACAAAGUAGAAGUAGAAAAUCUACUGCAAAGUAGAAACUUGAAAUAAUCAUUUGGAUGCAUUUCCCUCAGAGAGGACAGCGCGUGGCGGUCAGGGCAGAGACAAAGGUGCUGCUGACCCUCUUUGAACAGGGUGUGUUCAAGGCCAGCAGGGGGUAAAAAGACAGAAAUGAAACAAAAACAACAGUGGCUCCUGCAGCUGCAUGAAUACUUCACCAAAAUAAGACUUAACAUCGAGUCACAUAUCCCAUAUGAGGAAACGCAGCUUCCACCAGAGUCUCAAGGGUUAAAGUGAUUUACCUGCAGCCAAUAAAUCCAAUAAAUCCAUGGAGUUACAGCGAGCGUUUGGGUCAGAGUGACAUCAGGUUGAUUUAAUAUAAUAUAUAAUGUAAGUUAAACUUUUGAAAACGUCGUUUUUAGUCAUUUUUAUCUUUUUUAAUCUCAUCAGCAGCUUUUUUGUUUUCAGGUGUCAGACACAAUCAUAAUUCUGGAGACAUGUUUGCUGACUGGGUUUCAUGUUUGUGCAGAGUGAGUAAAUCUGUGCUCUAUCUUUCUUUUUACAUUCAUAGAUUGAGAGUAGAUCAUAGUGAUUGUGUCGACAACUUUAACUUUCUUAAAACAGACGUUCAGAUUUUAAAUUUUUGAUUAAAGCCAUCACAGCAAUGUCCCCUCAAUCUAAAAUGUACAGAACCUGAGGGCUAAAAGCUGCUUUUGUUUGUCGUUUGUGGAAUUACUUCAGCCUGAGAUUCAACCCUGCGUCACAGACUGAGUUGUAACGUGUCCUUGGUGAAGUGAUGAAGAAAAAUGUUGGAUGCAGAGUGAAAGUGACUGCUCGGGGUUUUUCCUUGUUUCUGGUUUAUGAAUCCCUUAAAUUUGAUAUAUUGUGUUGUUUUAUUCUUGGAAGAACCUCCUGUGAAGAAUCUCAUCUUCCCUGGAGAACAAAAGAAGAAAACAACCUUUCAUCAUUAUUGACUACGUUCAUCUGAGUAAUGAAAACUGCAUGUACUGGGAUAUUUGUAGGUAUUUUCCUUAAUUCAUUGAUUUAUGGUCAUUUAUUGACAUCAGGGCUGGCUUGCAGAUACAGAAACAGUGUUUGCUAUUUUUAAUAAACCUCACAUUUGUUGCAUUUUAAUGCCUGUUAUCUGUUGUUUGUUUCAUUAGAGCCUCAGAUUUCUCACCAUCUGUGAAGCUGCAGACAGACAGCGGUCGUUUUGCUCUGUCUCUUGUUAUUCUUUUAUCCAGCUUCACUUUCAAGUUCGUUUUUCUCUGUCACUUUGGUGCAUUUCUCACAUCACUGUUAACAUUUGCUCAACAGUUAGUUCAACUUUCACAACAUCUAGUCAUUCGUACACAUCCGAGCAGCAGUUUUUUUUAUUCCUUUCAUCGAAUUGCAAAUGCUUUUGGACAUGUACCAGUUACUUUCAUACAAUUCUCUGCUCUUUUAUAACAUUAUCAUCAGCUUAUGUCAUGCCAGUCAAAAUGAACUAAACUUUGCAUUAUCAUUAGUUGCAACCAACGAUAAGCCACACCUCCACAGUCAGUCAGAGCUGAAUCCCAUGAACCCUUACUUGGCUCACAGAUAUAAACACAGCAGGACAUAGGGCUCUAUUUUCGUGCCUCGCCGGUCAUGGCGCAGGUGCUGCGUAAGUCAGUUCUGCCGGGCCGACAAGCACAUUGGUAUUUUGGUAUUUUGGUGAGCGGCGCAGCCCGGCGUAAGUAUCCCCCCCUCCCUAACUCAGGUCCUCCCAGCGGCGUACGUCGUAGAGAGGGAGGAGAGAAGGCGUGGAGUGGGUUUAACACAGCCGAGACCUGCUUUCGCCAAUCAUAUCAGCUCCUCUCCUCACCUUUAAACCCCCCACUGGUGAGGUGUUUUACAAUUUUCAUGCUGUAGUCAAGGGUUUGAGUCGGCAGGGGUGCGCCAUCGUCCAGAUAGUCAAAUGGCUUUGUCAUGUUUUCAUCAUGACAGUUUACUCUCUGUCAUGAUCUUGGUGACACUUUCUGAAAAUGCUCAAGACAGAGUUAUACACUAUUUGCACAGUCAUUUGAUAACUACAGUUAAGUUAUACAUGACUGUAUUUAGUGGGGUAACUCUAUAACAGCACUUUGUAUCUCCCUCAACCUUAUGGCUUUGUUUACAAUCACUGCUGCACAAAUGAUUUCCUGUUGCUGCGUAAUAAAAAGAGGUCCUCUUCCACCUCUGAGAGGUUGUUUCACAAUCCCCUGUGGUGCAGAGUAAAAUGACAGUAAUGUACAGUAAACAUGAGAUAUGCUGCGGAACAACUUCUGAGAGGUUGUUUCGUAAUCCUGUGAAAGGUUGAAAAUAUGAGAAAAUUCUUAAGUCCUGUGUCUGGAGGCCCUUAGAGCCAACCUUCAUGUUCAUAUGGACCCUGUAGGACAGGUGAGGGAGGGGCCUCUCAUACUUGUGUUUUCUCUCUAGAUGUAGAUCGAAGUCCACAGUAAAUUUGGUCUUUUGUGGGUUCAGAGUUCAUUGUAAUGAAACCAGGGUUCAUUUCUCGACAAGCCUCAUCUUCUCUGCAGAGUAAACAAGUUUUUAUUGCUUUGGGCCUGGCACAUUAAAUGCCUCUAAAGAGGUUUAUCUCAGUUUAUAAUGUUGGAUUCAGUCAAGUAAGGUAGCAUAAAUUCCAGAUGUAACUGCAAUGGCUCCUGUUUACGAUAUUUGAGCUGACCUGACCUGCCAUUGGCUGUGAUCAUGCAAUGUGUCUAUUAUCCUGAAAAAAGACCUGAGGUCUCAAGGCAGACCUGUAGAGAUAGGGAAAAAUAAAAGGUUAUCUAAGUCCACCUUAUGCACACCAAAUUUUAGAUCAGGCCUGAUAGUUCUCUCUGCUAUUUUGAUCAAGUCUGUCCUCUUUUGGAUCUUUACAAAGUUUUCCAGGUACCACUUUCAGUCAGGUCCAAAGGUCCAGAGUCUGCGAGGCCUUUGCUGUAAGAGAUGCUGAUUGACAAUGGGUUACUAAAGGUUCAUCUGAGCUUUUCUCAUUGUUGAAUUUUGUAUUUCUGUGUGUAAUAAUUAUAAAUACAUCAAUAAUAAAAAUAAUAAUAAUUCCUGCUCUAAAGCAUUUCUAUAUAAACCCUGUAUAAUGUGUGAGACUGGGUUUGGCCAGAUUCAACCUUGCAGCAAUUACCAGGUCAGUGUGCAAUCAUACAACGAUAAAAAUCAUAAUUCAUACAGAAGGAGGAAAGAUAGGUGUGAGGAAAAACAUUUAUUACAGACUAUUUAUACUGAGAAACAGCAGGACAAAAAAGAAGCAGUCACAUUUAUCAGCAUGAGGCAUAUGGGCAAUGAUUGCAUCAGCAACUUAAGUUAUUUUGAUUGUGUGUGUGUGUGUGUGUGUGUGUGUGUGUGUGUGUGUGUGUGUGUGUGUGUGUGUGUGUGUGUGUGUGUGUGUGUGUGUGUAUUUUCCAUCAUGAAGAGUGAAUUGAGUGUGAGCACAUCUGGCUGUAGGUGUUGUUAGGGAGUAUCGUCACAGCAGGCCUCCUGGUUGUGUGGGCUUGAUGCUGCAUUUGUCUGACAGGUAUGAUGAAAUAUCACUGAAGCACAAUAGAUGCUGCCAAAGAUCUUCAAGAACAUUUGCAAUGCCAAGAUCUGCCUCCACCAGGGGUAGGCACUUCAUUUUUACAAGGGGCCGCAUGAGAAACCUGAACUGAAAUACUACUCAAUAUUCAUUAUCUCCCAUUGUAAAAAGCAGUAAAUUGUAGUCAUUGUCUUGUUGAAAAUGUAGUAUUUGGUAUCAACCUUUGUUUUUUUGGUAUGAGCUGACCCUUUGAGGGUUAGCAGGCCAGCAUCACCUGUCUGUGUUCACAGGUCAGGGAUGUACGCUCAUUCGUCCAAAUGUAAAUGAAACAACAGAACAGUUUUCCAACAUAAAAGCAACACUUGUAAAGCAUGAACAGUAUAAAUAAUUUUUCAUUUAAGUUCUGAUUGACAGACUUUACACAGGCUGGCCGUUAAAUGCCCAGAUCUGGUCUAAACAGGAGUAAAGCAGGAUCUGGCAGUGAUCGGGUGUUGGGACUCACCAGCCCUGGUAAUGGACUGGUUUUGUCUCUUGUAGUGUGUCAUCGUUAUGGAAAAUAAAGCCUCUGUAAAGGUCUGUAAAGCCGUCUAACCUCCUGACAGAAAGUCUGGCAUGUUUGAGUGGGGCAGAGAUUUGUUCCGACAGUGACCAGUGAGAGGCCACUCUGCAUGCUCCACAAGUCAAACCAUAAACAAAAGAGCAACAGCAGACAGUGAAACUGAUGCUGCAAGAAAGAAAAUGAGACAAAGGAGAACUUUGACCCUGCCCAGCCUCACAUACAACGACAGACUGAAAAACUAUGUUGGCAAGGAAAAACAGACUUCACCAACCAAGGGGUAACUGCUGUUAGUAUUUCCCAGUGUCCUCUGGCCCAGCCCCUCUACGUCAUCAGUUACCAUGACAUCAUGUCCAACAGUGUUGGUUUAGAUGUCUGUAGUCCAGUCAGGGAAUGAUUUUAUGGUAUCAAAUCUAACUCAGUGACUUUUGUGACAGAAAAAAAAACCAUGUAGUCUGACUUUAGUCCAUUUUUAGAUUCACUUCAUAUACUGAACUAUUUAAAAGACUGCUGCUUGAUCCAUGCAUUUAAAUCCUUUAAACCACUGAAUGGUUCCUUUUUAGGGAGGUGUUACAGCAUCAACGUCAAAAUGUGUGAAAACUUACAAAAAAUAGAUAAAUAUAUAAAAAAAAUCAUUUUUUUAGUUUGAAUAUGAAAUAUUAUGUCUUUGCCAUGGAAGUGAAAACUGGUGGAAAAAGAUUUCCAGUCAUAGUGUUGUGGUUUUUUUUUUUGUACACGUCCAAAUGUCAUUUGAAGUGGGUUUAUUUAUAUAAGACUAUAAUCUUGUUACUUUGCAUGUUUAUUUCCCAAAAUGUAUUAUUUAUCAAAAUCUCUUUUUUCACCCUUAAAAAGGCCAAAGUCCUACCUGCAUAUUCAUUCAUCUAUUCAUUCAUUCAUUCAUUCAUUCAUUCAUUCUCCAGCUCUCCUAAGCCUGAUAGAUAGAUAGAUAGAUAGAUAGAUAGAUAGAUAGAUAGAUAGACAGAUAGACAGAUAGACAGAUAGAUAGAUAGAUAGAUAGAUAGAUAGAUAGAUAGAUAGAUAGAUAGAUAGAUAGAUAGAUAGAUAGAUAGAUAGAUAGAUAGAUAGAUAGAUAGAUAGAAACCUACUUCUGGCUCAUUGUUUAUGUGCUGCGUCAAAGCGUGGGAGGAUGUUGUUUGGAAAUUUGUGACCGUUCACCUUGUUUGGAAGGUGCUGAACCAACCAGCCGCUGUGGGAUUAGCUGAAGUUUCCAGCAGCACUUCGAUUUCCAUCCUAAUAAGCAUUUUUUUUCUUACUGUUCUUACUUAUCCCACAUCUUGCUGUUUGAUGGCCUUUUGUACAUCUACAUAGCUCGCUCCCUCAGGUAUUCUGGGGGAUUGGAGGAAGCAUAACAUUUACAUAACAUGCAGGGCUGGAAAAUUAGGUGACAAUAAUUUCACUGCGGGUCAUGUAUAAGCAAGAAAUCAAGCACUUAAUCAGACAAGGUUUUCCUCUCUCCCAGCUUAAGUUUAUUCCAGGUCUUUCAUUAGUCGAUUCAGAAACACUGUGAUUUAUCUCUCUGAUCCGCUUCAUUUGCUUUCAUGAAUUGUGUUGUGUGAAAGACUUUGGGAUGGAGAUUAGUUAUCAGUCUAGUCUGCCUAGUCAAGGUUACUUCAUGCUCACUGUAUAAGCAGGAUCCUGGUCUUCAUACUGCUACACCAGAGGCAGACCCCAAAGACCGUCAUGGGACUAAUAAACCCUCAGCCUAUAAACAGCAUAUUUGAGUUUUCUCAGAGGGACGUGAAUCUUUGUCAGUCAACGCCUCACUAAUGCAGAGGGACUCUCUGAUUAACUGUUGUUUUCACAGGACAUACUUCUCAAUAAUAAUCCAUCUCUCAGUCUACAAAUACAGACUGUCUACAAACACAGAACCCCAGCCACCCUUCCAACCCUUCCAUUGUAUACAACAUUUACACACACAGACACACACAUUAAAAAAACAGGAGAGGACUCUUUACCACAGAUGACUGAGAAAACACUAUCUUGAGUUGAAAAGAGGAAAAACUGGACCUAAGACUAAGGUGAUAAAACCACGAUAAGAUACAAUAAAGGUGAUAAAGUAUUAAUAGUUAGUUAAAAUUAAACAGUCUUAAAAUUAAACAUUAAAAGAAAAUAAAUAAAAAGAGGUAAUAAAACCCCAAAUAUUUACUCUAAAAUAGGGUAAAAUCACCUCAUGCAGAUUGAAACCAAAAAGUGAGACUAAAAAGGUUGAACUUGAGUUUGUAUUUAAAAAUAUGAACAGUAGGUGUCGCUCUCAGGUCUGCAGGUGGACUGUCCCACAGAUGGGGGCCCUAAUGUUGGAACGAUGAUUCACCGUAUGUUUCAGUUUUUACUUUGGGAACAAUUAAAAGACCUGAGGGCUCUACUGGGCUCAUAUGGUAAAAGCAAAUCAGAUAAAUAGGAAGGACAAAGACCAUUGAGGGAUUUAAAAACUAAUAAAACAACCUUAAAAUCUACUUUUAAAGACAUAAGAAGCCAAUGAAGAGUUUUUAAAAUCAGUCUAAUGUGAUCUCUCCUCCUGGUCUUUGUAGGAGCUGAAUCUGGGAAAUAAUUUGUUUAGAAAGACCAGAGAGGAGAGCAUUACAAUAAUCAGGUCUACAGGUGACAGAAGCAGGAGUACGAGUCUCUGCAUUGGCUUGAAAGAGAAACUGGUGCACUCUGGAGAUGUUCUUAAAAUGAUAAAAUGCCUUUUUGGUAACAUCUCGUAUGUGUGGCUCAAAGCUGAGGUUUGGAUCAAAUGUAACACCCAAUUUUUUCUCCUGUUUGCAUGGAUUAACAGCUAGAGCUUGGAGUUUCUGCUCCAGUUUCUCUUUCUGUUGACCUGUACCAAUAACUAAAACUUGAGUUUUGUCCUGAUUUAGUCUGCCAUCCUGGACUGGACGUCUAAAACUCAGUUCAAAGGGGCAUCACUGGGCCUGGUGUCAUCAGGAGACAAAGCAAUGUAAAGCUGAGUGUCAUCAGCAGAGCUGUGAAAGUUGAUGCUGUGCCUCCUGAUGAUUGUCUCCUUAUGGCAACAUGUAGGGCUCUAUUUUCGUGCCCGCCGGCAGCGCGGCGGGGGUGGCACACCCUGUGCAGUGGUAUUUUCGUCUGGCGGGGCCCGGCGCACAGCCAGUUUGGUAUUUUCGUAGACUGAGGCGCACCGCAUCUGUGAAUAUUCAAUCUGGAGCGAGACUUCGUCGUCGUUUUCUUCCGCUUCAUCCGGGUCCGGGUCUUUGAUACUUACAUACAAAUAUUAUAAUAUUCAGUUGCGUGAGCCAAGUUAAUUUUAUAUGACAACAUCAAUGGAAGAAAAAACCAGGUCACGGAGCGCAAUGCGUCCUUUAUGCACAGGUGGUUCCGAUUUUAAUGCCAUUAUUGGAAUCUGUGCGCACAACUCCUCUGUCAUGUGGGGUUUAAUUAUAUGCAACUUGGUGUGAGUGUCUUUAUUUGUGAAAAAGGAUGAUGAUGGACGGUUACCUACCUGAUAGUUAGACAGUAUUGACUUAGUAGUUAUCAUGUAAUUACCAGAUAAUUUCAUGUUGUUACUAGGUAAUUACCUGUUAAUUACCUGGUAAUAAGUGUACCGUAAAAGAAAGCGUUACCGAUAUGUCUCCCCUUUAUUGGUUCUGCACCCUCCCUGUACAGUCUUAAUGAGAAUAUAGUCUCAGCUGUAAAUAACAACCUGUGAACAUGACUUUCAUGGUGUGUGCCAGAAUGCGCCGUAACAUCUGAUCAGCACUUCACUUUGAAUGUGACCUCCCACUGAUCAGGGGUCCAGCUCCAUCUCCUGAGUUUUCUGAACAUUCAAAGUUAGUUUGUAUCACAUCACUAAACAAAACUGUUCAUUUCAGUCAAAUUAAUAGACUUCUUUAAAUUUGAAAUAUUUGUUGCUGAGGUUGUUCCAGGGUUAAGUGAUUUAUCUCUUUAAUUUUUAGGGGGUUUGAUAAAAACUGAAUCUUGGUUUUAUGAUAAUUAUAUACCAAUGUUGUGUUGAAUUUGACAUUUUACACCAGAUGGCAUAUUCACACUGGAGUUAAGGAACCAUGAGACCCUGGAAUGACCACAAAUCACUCUACACUCCCCAGUUAUAUCUAUCUAAGGUAAGCAGGACCUCGGAGCAGCCUGUGGAGAGCCUGCUGCCCUGUUUUUGGAUCAGCCACUGUGGUGGCUGGACUUUACUGAAUAACACUUACAAUGGGUCCCCUGAGCCACUUUGGCAUUUUAGAGCCCAUUUUCUAGCUGAGCACAGGUGUGGGAGGCUAGUCAGGGAAUGAUAAUAAGGCCAAGUCCUGUUAGAGUUACUGAGGGGAAAACAGAGCAAGGUGGAAGACGGUCAGAAUCUGAAGAGCUCUGCCUCAGAAACACCAUCAACCACCAGCUGAUGUCUGCUCGACUGAUGUCUUACAAUCUGGAUGAUGAUUGUUCUUUAUAACCGUCUCAUCAAGUUUGUCUAAUGACUGAAAAGAGAGAAAGAGAGAGAGAGAGAGGGAGAGAGAGAGAGAGUAGUUGUUGUUAUUGUUGUAUUAAAACGCUUUGGCGAUAUAGUUAUAACAAUCAUGCCAACAAAGCUUUUUGAAAUUGAAAUUGAAAUUGAAAUUGAAAGGGAGAGAGAGAAUAAAUUCACUCUGAUCUUUGAUUUAUCAGCAGCUGGAUGAGGCACCAGCCGUUAAAAACAAGUUUGUUUCAGUUUGAAAGAAAAGAAACUCUUGGUUUGACUUACUGUAGGUGAACAAGAACUCAAUACAAACACAUUCCCCUAUUUAUGCUGAACACACCAGUUUUCUUUUGAGCCCAGACAACAACGGUAAGAGUGUGUCUUUCCUAUCUGCGUAGUUCUUGUUGAACUAAUUGUGAAGAAACUUUUGGUCCAUGUUUGUAUUUUACUUUCUUUUGAUUUUCAUGUGUGCUCAGGAGAGGCUGAAAACACAAGCAUCAGCCCUAAAAUAUGGGCCAACUCAGUAAUUAAAGAUGGAACACACACACACACACACACACACACACACACACACACACACACACACACACACACACACACACACACACACACACACACACACACACACACAGUAAAUUGAUGGACAGUCUUAGCUGUACAACAACCAACUAAGGCGACUAUCCCUCUUUCAGGUCGGUUCUUUAUGGAUGUGCAGGGUUAAAAGAGAAACAGGUCUCCCUUGAUCAGUUCUUUAGUUUCAACAUUAAAAAAGUUUUCUUGAUCAAAGCUGAUUUUAGAACAACAUGAAAAGAAAGUUCUGCUCAGAAAGUUGUCUGCAGUCUGGAGGUGGAAUGGAGGAGUCCUCUCAGAGGACCAAACCACACAAACCUUUCCUUGGCAGCGCUCUCAUGGCUCCCAAAGCUCUGAACAGAAGGGGGAUAAGAGGUAGGAAGUCUUUAGCUGUGGAGAAGCUUUUUCUCUUCCUUUCUGUUAUGAUGAAUUUUGCAGACUGAGUGCCAUGAUGUGUAUCUCUGCAAGUGCUUGUAGGGUUGCUCAUUGAUUCCCGGCCAUCUUUACUGAACCAUUAACAGGACACUUGGCAUUUCCUUCAUGCUACAGUCCCUUUGUGAGCCUUUUAUGGCCUUGCUUGUGAUUGAAAGGAGGGAGAAAUGAGUGUGUAUGCUUCUCUAUUCAUCUCAGUGUUGUUAUUUGGAACAUCUAUGUCUGUAUUCCUGCAUCAAGAGGUGUGUGUGUCUGUGUGUGUGUCUGUGUGUGUUAAGCCUGCAGAUCAGUUAGUGCUGCUUCAUGCUCCAGCCUUAUUAAAGAGCAGAGAUGGAGACAUCACAAUGACACAAGCAUGGAGAAAGAGCGUCUACCUAAAGAGAAGAUUCCUCUAUUCAGCUCUUCUCAGCACUUCUCCCGUCUCAUAUCUCUACAAUCAGUAAUUCAGUUAACAGUUUCUCAUUUGAAGAUAUAAUCCUGAAUGGUCCAGUCUAAUGUAACAUAAGUAACAGUAAAUACAAUGACCC